rnacentral:rRNA from 1 species
UACGGAGGGGGCAAGCGUUGUUCGGAAUUACUGGGCGUAAAGGGCGCGCAGGCGGCUGCUCAAGUCAGGCGUGAAAGGCCUGGGCUCAACCCGGGAAUUGCGCUUGAGACUGGGCUGGCUUGAGUGCGGGAGAGGAUGGUGGAAUUCCCAGUGUAGAGGUGAAAUUCGUAGAUAUCGGGAGGAACACCAGUGGCGAAGGCGGCGACCUGGGCCAAUAUUGACGCUGAGGUGCGAAAGCGUGGGGAGCAAACAGG